AAAUUGAAGAGUUUGAUCAUGGCUCAGAUUGAACGCUGGCGGCAGGCCUAACACAUGCAAGUCGAGCGGAAACGAGUUAUCAGAACCUUCGGGGGACGAUAACGGCGUCGAGCGGCGGACGGGUGAGUAAUGCCUAGGAAAUUGCCCUGAUGUGGGGGAUAACCAUUGGAAACGAUGGCUAAUACCGCAUGAUGCCUACGGGCCAAAGAGGGGGACCUUCGGGCCUCUCGCGUCAGGAUAUGCCUAGGUGGGAUUAGCUAGUUGGUGAGGUAAGGGCUCACCAAGGCGACGAUCCCUAGCUGGUCUGAGAGGAUGAUCAGCCACACUGGAACUGAGACACGGUCCAGACUCCUACGGGAGGCAGCAGUGGGGAAUAUUGCACAAUGGGCGCAAGCCUGAUGCAGCCAUGCCGCGUGUGUGAAGAAGGCCUUCGGGUUGUAAAGCACUUUCAGUCGUGAGGAAGGUAGUGUAGUUAAUAGCUGCAUUAUUUGACGUUAGCGACAGAAGAAGCACCGGCUAACUCCGUGCCAGCAGCCGCGGUAAUACGGAGGGUGCGAGCGUUAAUCGGAAUUACUGGGCGUAAAGCGCAUGCAGGUGGUUUGUUAAGUCAGAUGUGAAAGCCCGGGGCUCAACCUCGGAAUUGCAUUUGAAACUGGCAGACUAGAGUACUGUAGAGGGGGGUAGAAUUUCAGGUGUAGCGGUGAAAUGCGUAGAGAUCUGAAGGAAUACCGGUGGCGAAGGCGGCCCCCCUGGACAGAUACUGACACUCAGAUGCGAAAGCGUGGGGAGCAAACAGGAUUAGAUACCCUGGUAGUCCACGCCGUAAACGAUGUCUACUUGGAGGUUGUGGCCUUGAGCCGUGGCUUUCGGAGCUAACGCGUUAAGUAGACCGCCUGGGGAGUACGGUCGCAAGAUUAAAACUCAAAUGAAUUGACGGGGGCCCGCACAAGCGGUGGAGCAUGUGGUUUAAUUCGAUGCAACGCGAAGAACCUUACCUACUCUUGACAUCCAGAGAACUUUCCAGAGAUGGAUUGGUGCCUUCGGGAACUCUGAGACAGGUGCUGCAUGGCUGUCGUCAGCUCGUGUUGUGAAAUGUUGGGUUAAGUCCCGCAACGAGCGCAACCCUUAUCCUUGUUUGCCAGCGAGUAAUGUCGGGAACUCCAGGGAGACUGCCGGUGAUAAACCGGAGGAAGGUGGGGACGACGUCAAGUCAUCAUGGCCCUUACGAGUAGGGCUACACACGUGCUACAAUGGCGCAUACAGAGGGCGGCCAACUUGCGAAAGUGAGCGAAUCCCAAAAAGUGCGUCGUAGUCCGGAUUGGAGUCUGCAACUCGACUCCAUGAAGUCGGAAUCGCUAGUAAUCGUGGAUCAGAAUGCCACGGUGAAUACGUUCCCGGGCCUUGUACACACCGCCCGUCACACCAUGGGAGUGGGCUGCAAAAGAAGUAGGUAGUUUAACCUUCGGGGGGACGCUUACCACUUUGUGGUUCAUGACUGGGGUGAAGUCGUAACAAGGUAGCGCUAGGGGAACCUGGCGCUGGAUCACCUCCUUA
rnacentral:rRNA from 1 species